rnacentral:lncRNA from 1 species
UUCUUCAUCAGGAAGGGCAAGGCAACGAUCGCGCGUGGCACGAUGGCUGCCGCAACGGUUAGGGAAUUGGUACAUCGGUAAGCCUAUUGCGGCGAGCCGUGAGCCUCUUACCUAGGAGCCUCUUGGCUCGUUUGGGCCGUACAACCUCAAGAAGCUUGUAGUAAAAGACGUCAAGGAAACUCAUCGCGGCGGCAAUGCCUGCCCCCUUACACAGUACAAGGCAGGUUACGUAGUGUAGACGUGCCACAUGCAUUGCGAUGACCGGACAUCGUAGGGAUUUCACAUAUGUUGACAGGGGUAACGAUCAAAGUAAGACAGUGCAAUUAUUUUGUGGGCCACCUCUAAUUCGUAAGGUUUUGUUUCUAUCGAUUUG